GAUCACAUUAUCUGACCUCAAAGCAAUUCAGUUGAACCCUACAGAGAUUAGUAUGUCCCCUGUGCAAAAAUGACACCCAAAUUCAUGAAGUAUUCCAUAUUUUU